AUUGAACGCUGGCGGCAGGCCUAACACAUGCAAGUCGAGCGGAGGAAGGGAGCUUGCUCCUGGAUUCAGCGGCGGACGGGUGAGUAAUGCCUAGGAAUCGGCCUGGGAGUGGGGGAUAACGUCCGGAAACGGGCGCUAAUACCGCAUACGUCCAGAGGGAGAAAGAGGGGGAUCUUCGGACCUCACGCUAUCAGAUGAACCUAGGUCGGAUUAGCGAGUUGGUGGGGUAAAGGCCUACCAAGCCGACGAUCCGUAAAGGGUCUGAGGGGAUGAUCGGUAACACUGAAGCUGGGACACGGUCCAGCCCCCGACGGGAGGCAGGGGUGGGAAAUCUUCGGCAGUGGGCGGUAGCCUGUUCCAGCCAUGCCGCGUGUGUGUGAAAGGUCUUCGGCGUGUAAAUCACUUUAAGUUGGGGAGUAGAACGGUAAGUUAGUGCCUUGCUGUUUGGCCGUUACCGACGGAAUAAGCACCGCCUACCUUCGU
rnacentral:rRNA from 1 species